rnacentral:lncRNA from 1 species
AUAUUUGAUAGGCCAAUGGUGACUUUGCUGGAGGAAUUUCAGUGGAACAGUAAGAGAUGAAAUUUUGAUUACUGUGGUAUUCAAAGGAUGAAACAUAAACCUCUUGAGGACAGAGAUUUUUUUGUCUGUUCACUGUCUUAGGACUUCACUAUAUUCCUGCUACAGAGAGGCUCCAUACCUACCUAACAUCUAUCUUCUCAAGAACUCUGCCAGGGAAGGAGUAGUUUCUGUGUUUCAUAAACAGACUGAGACUCAAAGAGGCUAAGUAAACUACCUGAAGCCAUAUAUAGCAACACACAAUGACGGAUGUGAGAUUCAAACUUGGAUUUAUCUGGCUCCAAAAUUUCUAGUUUUUUUUUUUUUUUUUUUCCCACUACAGCAAAACUAAGGAGAAGAGACAGAGGUGAAUAGCUGUCUCUCAGUGGUUAUUCUGUUUUCCCUUAUCUACAUGUUUUCCUCCUUUCACUCUCUCUUGGUUUGUUCUUAUCCUUCAGAGGUAAAGAGGAGCCUUCAGAGAGCUAUAAAGGUUGAUCAAAGUACCAGAUUAUGAGAUUAUUUGGAGGCUAAUAUGUAAUCCUUGGGGUUUCCUUUCUCAUCUCACCCUUACAGCUGCCUGUAUUAAUGCUUUCUGAUUAACAUAUGGUCUCCUUUUUAUUCUAGAAAACACUAGAUCUGAAUAACAAAGGAUGCAUACUUAAGCAAACUAAGGCAUAUAUAGUUAUCACUAAAUGCUCAACCUGGAAAGAAUACUGGAUUGCAGUCUGCUUUUUCUGUAAAGACAAUAGUAUUAUAAAACCGAAAGAGACAACAGGGAAUAUUUCCCACUCAACUAAGCAUAUCUAAAAGCACAUUUGAAGUUUGGAGACAAUAUUCUGUGUUAUUUUAAGAAAAGAUUCUAUAGCAUUAUUACCUGGUGGUAAGAAAAUAACAUGUAAAAGAAAAGGUAAUAAGAAUAAAAAAAAUAAGUAAAAGUAUGUGAACAUGCUAGACCUG